UACGUAGGGUGCAAGCGUUAAUCGGAAUUACUGGGCGUAAAGCGUGCGCAGGCGGCUUUGCAAGUCAGAUGUGAAAUCCCCGGGCUCAACCUGGGAACUGCAUUUGAGACUGCAAGGCUAGAGUACGGUAGAGGGGGAUGGAAUUCCGCGUGUAGCAGUGAAAUGCGUAGAGAUGCGGAGGAACACCGAUGGCGAAGGCAGCCCCCUGGGCCAACACUGACGCUCAGGCACGAAAGCGUGGGGAGCAAACAGG
rnacentral:rRNA from 1 species